rnacentral:rRNA from 1 species
GAUGAAUGCUGGCGGCGUGCCUAAUACAUGCAAGUCGUACGGAAAGGCCCUUCGGGGUACUCGAGUGGCGGACGGCUGAGUAACGCGUGGGAACGUGCCCCAAAGUGAGGGAUAACGCACCGAAAGGUGUGCUAAUACCGCAUAUGGUCUUCGGAUUAAAGCUUCGGCGCUUUGGGAGCGGCCCGCGUACGAUUAGAUAGUUGGUAGGGUAAUGGCCUACCAAGUCGACGAUCGUUAGCUGGUCUGAGAGGAUGAUCAGCCAGACUGGAACUGAGACACGGUCCAGACUCCUACGGGAGGCAGCAGUAAGGAAUCUUCCACAAUGGGGGCAACCUUGAUGGAGCAACGCCGCGUGCAGGAUGAAGGCCCUCGGGUCGUAAACUGCUUUUAUGAGUGAAGAAUAUGACGGUAACUCAUGAAUAAGCACCGGCUAACUACGUGCCAGCCGCCGCAGUAA